AACGAACGCUGGCGGCAUGCCUAACACAUGCAAGUCGAACGAGACCUUCGGGUCUAGUGGCGCACGGGUGCGUAACGCGUGGGAACCUGCCCUUAGGUUUGGAAUAACUCCCCGAAAGGGGUGCUAAUACCGGAUAAUGUCUUCGGACCAAAGAUUUAUCGCCUUUGGAUGGGCCAGCGUUGGAUUAGCUAGUUGGUAGGGUAAAAGACUACCAAGGCGACGAUCCAUAGCUGGUCUGAGAGGAUGAUCAGCCACACUGGGACUGAGACACGGCCCAGACUCCUACGGGAGGCAGCAGUGGGGAAUAUUGGACAAUGGGCGAAAGCCUGAUCCAGCAAUGCCGCGUGAGUGAUGAAGGCCUUAGAGUUGUAAAGCUCUUUUACCCGGGAUGAUAAUGACAGUACCGGGAGAAUAAGCUCCGGCUAACUCCGUG
rnacentral:rRNA from 1 species